rnacentral:rRNA from 1 species
AUGGAGCACCAGGGACACGGCACCGGCGAGAAGAAGGGCAUCAUGGAGAACAUCAAGGAGAAGCUCCCCGGUGGCCAAGGUGACCACCAGCAGACCGCUGGCACCCACGGGCAGCAUGGACACACUGGAAUGACAGGCACGGAGAUGCAUGACACCACGGCCACCGGCGGCACCCAUGGGCAGCAGGGGCUUACCGGAACGACUGGCACUGGGACACACGGCACCGGUGAGAAGAAGAGCCUCAUGGACAAGGUGAAGGAGAAGCUGCCUGGACAGCACUAA